rnacentral:rRNA from 1 species
GACGAACGCUGGCGGCGUGCCUAAUACAUGCAAGUCGAGCGAAGUUUUUCUGGUGCUUGCACUAGAAAAACUUAGCGGCGAACGGGUGAGUAACACGUAAAGGACCUGCCUCAUAGACUGGGACAACUAUUGGAAACGAUAGCUAAUACCGGAUAACAGUAUUUCUCGCAUGAGAGAUAUUUAAAAGUUGGUUAUGCUAACACUAUGAGAUGGCUUUGCGGUGCAUUAGCUAGUUGGUGGGGUAAAGGCCCACCCAGGCGACCAAGCCUAACCCAACUGAAAAGGUGAUCGGGCUCGACGGGACUUAAAACCCGGCCAAAAUCCCUAAGGAAGGCAGCGGAAGGAAUCCUCCCCCAUGGGGCAAAAGCCUAGGGAACUCCGCCGCGCGUGUGAAAAGAAAGUCCUCAGAUCACAGCUCUCUGUUGUUAGGAAAGAACAAAUGUGUGAAUCACUAUGCGCGUCUCGACGGUACAUCAUCUGAUAGCCACGGUUAAGUACGUGCCAGCACCCGCGGUAGAUACGUAGGUGCAAAGCGUUGUCGGAAUAUUGGGGCGUAAAGCGCGCGCAGGUGGUUUAAUAAGUCUGAUGUGAAAGCCCACGGCUCAACCGUGGAGGGUCAUUGGAAACUGUUAAACUUGAGUGCAGGAGAGAAAAGUGGAAUUCCUAGUGUAGCGGUGAAAUACGUAGAGAUUAGGAGGAACACCAGUGGCGAAGGCGGCUUUUUGGCCUGUAACUGACACUGAGGCGCGAAAGCGUGGGGAGCAAACAGGAUUAGAUACCCUGGUAGUCCACGCCGUAAACGAUGAGUGCUAAGUGUUGGUCUCAUAAGAGAUCAGUGCUGCAGCUAACGCAUUAAGCACUCCGCCUGGGGAGUACGACCGCAAGGUUGAAACUCAAAGGAAUUGACGGGGACCCGCACAAGCGGUGGAGCAUGUGGUUUAAUUCGAAGCAACGCGAAGAACCUUACCAAGUCUUGACAUACUGUGAGGACACAAGAGAUUGUGUUGUUCUGACCUUUGGUUAGACACAGAUACAGGUGGUGCAUGGUUGUCGUCAGCUCGUGUCGUGAGAUGUUGGGUUAAGUCCCGCAACGAGCGCAACCCUUAUAUCUAGUUGCCAGCAGUAAGAUGGGGACUCUAGAUAGACUGCCAGUGAUAAACUGGAGGAAGGUGGGGAUGACGUCAAAUCAUCAUGCCCCUUAUGACUUGGGCUACACACGUGCUACAAUGGAUAGGAACAAAGAGAAGCGAGCUCGCGAGAGUCAGCCAACCUCAUAAAACUAUUCUCAGUUCGGAUUGUAGUCUGCAACUCGACUACAUGAAGCUGGAAUCGCUAGUAAUCGCGAAUCAGAAUGUCGCGGUGAAUACGUUCCCGGGUCU